rnacentral:rRNA from 1 species
UACAGAGGGGGCAAGCGUUGUUCGGAAUUACUGGGCGUAAAGGGCGCGUAGGCGGCCAACUCAGUCGGACGUGAAAUCCCCUGGCUCAACCAGGGAACUGCGUCCGAUACUGGCUGGCUUGAAUCCGGGAGAGGGAUGUGGAAUUCCAGGUGUAGCGGUGAAAUGCGUAGAUAUCUGGAGGAACACCCGUGGCGAAGGCGGCUCUCUGGGACGGUACUGACGCUGAGACGCGAAAGCGUGGGGAGCGAACAGG